GAUCAUCUGGUAACGAAUGGGAGGAUGGCAGAAAAAGAAGCAAGGAAGAAGUUCAGUCAAAUUGUUUCAGCAAUUGAGUAUUGCCAUAAAAGAUUUGUUGUACAUAGAGAUCUCAAGGUGAGACUGAAACGACAGUUGACGAAAUUAUAUUAUUUUUGUUUGCCUAUUUUUGUUCGGUUGCAUUCUUGUUUGUUUGUUUGUUUGUUUGUUUGUUUGUUUGUUUGUUUGUUUGUUUGUUUGUUUGUUUGUUUGUUUGUUUGUUUGUUUGUUUGUUUGUUUGUGUGUUUGUUUGUUUGUUUGUUUGUUUGUUUGUUUGCUCUACUUUAUUUUACUUUACUUUCUUUUCCUGAUUUCUUUAUGUUUGUUGUUUCCUUGUUUAAUGCUGCCUAACACCACUGGUCACUAUCAUCUAAAUAUUUUUAAGAAGGAGUUGAUGUUUUUAAUCAUCAGAACUCUAUGAAAUAUCGCAUUUCAAACUCUAGAUUAGAAAAUGUUCUUGGGGUAGGUGCACACCCUCUCAGGAUGUGCUAACACGGUCCAAUUUAAGAUUUAUAUUUUCCAAGGCGAAAUUUUUCUCUUUUUACAGGCAUGUUUCAUUCUUCUAUCUGAUAAUAAUUCGUAAAAAUACAUUUUCGUGCUUCGAUCACAUUAGAAUAAAUGAAAUAGUUUGUUUUUGGCUUAAGAUGUUUAACUUAUUCUAUAUUUUGUGUUGUCAGGCGGAGAACCUCUUACUUGACGAAAAUCUGAAUAUAAAAAUUGCAGGUACAAUGCCAUUAGUCACGUGCUGAUGCAUUCAGGG